GAAGAGGGUAGUGGCAAUGUCAUUUUAGAAGUUACGGAUGGAAAUAGAAUCGUUUUCUGGAAAGACAAGUGAUGUAGAAAUUGCACAUUAAAUGCUACUCUCUCGGCUAUCUACAACAUAUCGUGCUAGAAGAACAUAACAAUCCAUCAUAUCCAAGGAGCCAAUCUAUCUAAUCUCACCUAAAAUUCACUUUCUUUCCUUCUCAAACAAAAAAAAUCCAAAAGAAAGAAUUUCACUCUUCUUAUGUAAACUCGCCAAAGGAAACUUCAAAAAUGUUGAGAAGCUGAUGUGGAC
rnacentral:misc_RNA from 1 species